rnacentral:lncRNA from 1 species
ACCCAGGCCGAUGACUCAGGCUCCUCCUCAGGUUCCAGCAGCAGAGCAUGGUAAGACCUAUCAGCGUUGUGGCAAAGAUCAUAGGGACCAACACUACUAUCGCCUCAACAACACUUACCGCAUAUGCGGUAGUGCCCAACACUAUGUAAGAGAGUGCCCGAAGAACCAGAACUAGGUCAGACCUCCUAUCUAGGGAAAGACUUACAACCUUACUCAUGGGAUGC